AGAGUUUGAUCCUGGCUCAGGAUGAACGCUGGCGGCGUGCCUAAUACAUGCAAGUCGAGCGAAACAUAGUAGAAACUCUUCGGAGCUUCUACUAUGUUUAGCGGCGGACGGGUGAGUAACACGUAGGUAACCUACCUUUAGCAUCGGGAUACCUUUGGGAAACCAAAGUUAAUACCGAAUAAGCUCCCAUUACCGCAUGG
rnacentral:rRNA from 1 species